rnacentral:lncRNA from 1 species
GGCCAGGGUGAAGACGGUAAUGGGGGAGACUGAAGGCAGCGAUGUAGGAGACUAGAGGGAGAUCGAAGGCGGUGAUAGGAGAGAUCGGAGGGCUAGGGCGAAGGCAGCGAUAGUUCGCCCAAAUUUGAGAAAGAUGAAGAACAGCGAUGCCGGUGCCAUAAAAUGGGAAGCAGAAGAGUUAGGGCUAUUUCAAGCUUAUUUGAGAACCCAAUGCCAAGUCUAAUUCAAAUUAGGUGGUUAAGCUUAGCCAUCUUUAACAUUUAGAUCUUGACUUGGGUCUAAAUUUUGGGCUAAAAUUGGGCUUGCAAUCAGGCUUAGGCUCGGGCUCGGGCCGGGCCAAUAGUAGACCCGAGCCCAGUCCGAAAAUAAAACAGACUCUCUAUCUUAGCCCAAAUCCAGCCUGAUUAUGUUCGGACCUAACCCGAAGUCCGAUCUGUAGUCAGGCCAGCACAAAGCCCAUU